rnacentral:lncRNA from 1 species
GAAACGCGCUUACGAUACUUACAAGUGUCCCAAAAAAACCCAAAAAUCAGACCCAGGGCCUACUCGGCCAAUUUUGAAAUUCCGACACGACAGCUUCGCCGUGCUCCGGCGACGAUGAUUUGCCUCGAAUUGGUUAUUUUGGGCCGUUUUCAGCUGAAUUCAGCCGAACUUGCACCGGUUCAUGCGAGAAAACAUACUUAGGACCCUCGGUGGGCUGAAAAAAUACAGAAAAUCAAAACUCACCGACAAUGGGGUUCUCCAGUGCGAUGGCUCCUCCGGCUCACGUUACGGUUGGGUGUUUUACUUCUGUAAACCUGUAGAUAAGGAAACGGUGGUCAAAACGGUGAAAAAAUCUCAUCGAAUGAGAAUCGAAAAGGGCCUCAUCGGAGCCAUUUUCUGAAACACCUUACGGCGGUGCUGCGAGCUUCGGUGGCAUUUUUCCACUAAUCAGCCGGUUCUUUCACUCCGAUUUGGCCAUGGGUGGGUUUAAAAUUGAAUCUUGUGUAAUAGGAGAAAUUUUUACCUCGUUUGCUAGUCGAAAAUUGCUAUAGUACGGCGGCGGAUGGCAGCGGUCGGCUCCCUAGUAGCUGGACUGUCUUCUCCGGUGAGGGACUCUGGCAGCUAGGGUUAAGGUUUGG